GUCAGUCACCCACCGCUCAAGCGGCGGGCUUGCACGACAAGCCCUGACUGACCAGCACCCAGCUUGAGCAAUCAGGCUACGUUCGGAAGGAAAACAUAGGCACCGUGAGAUGCAUGCCAGUCUCACGCUCUGCG
rnacentral:sRNA from 14 species